rnacentral:rRNA from 1 species
UACGGAGGGUGCAAGCGUUGUCCGGAUUUAUUGGGUUUAAAGGGUGCGUAGGCGGUUUAUUAAGUCAGUGGUGAAAGACGUCGCUCAACGAUUGCAGUGCCAUUGAUACUGGUAGACUUGAAUUAUUUGGAAGUAACUAGAAUAUGUAGUGUAGCGGUGAAAUGCUUAGAUAUUGUCAAGAACACCGAUUGCGAAGGCAGCUUACUAAACUAUAACUGACGCUGAGGCACGAAAGCGUGGGGAUCAAACAGG